rnacentral:rRNA from 1 species
AGAGUUUGAUCCUGGCUCAGGAUGAACGCUGGCGGCGUGCUUAACACAUGCAAGUCGAACGAACCUUCGGGUUAGUGGCGGACGGGUGAGUAACGCGUGAGAAUCUGCCCUCAGGAGGGGGAUAACGGCUGGAAACGGCCGCUAAUACCCCAUAUGCCGAGAGGUGAAAUGAAUUUCGCCUGAGGAUGAGCUCGCGUCUGAUCAGCUAGUUGGUGUGGUAAAGGCUCACCAAGGCAUCGAUCAGUAGCUGGUCUGAGAGGAUGAUCAGCCACACUGGGACUGAGACACGGCCCAGACUCCUACGGGAGGCAGCAGUGGGGAAUUUUCCGCAAUGGGCGCAAGCCUGACGGAGCAACGCCGCGUGAGGGAUGAAGGCCUCUGGGCUGUAAACCUCUUUUAUCAAGGAAGAAGAUCUGACGGUACUUGAUGAAUAAGCCACGGCUAAUUCCGUGCCAGCAGCCGCGGUAAUACGGGAGUGGCAAGCGUUAUCCGGAAUUAUUGGGCGUAAAGCGUCCGCAGGCGGUCUUGAAAGUCUGUUGUUAAAGCGUGGAGCUCAACUCCAUUUCAGCAAUGGAAACUAGAAGACUAGAGUGUGGUAGGGGCAGAGGGAAUUCCCGGUGUAGCGGUGAAAUGCGUAGAUAUCGGGAAGAACACCAGUGGCGAAGGCGCUCUGCUGGGCCAUAACUGACGCUCAUGGACGAAAGCCAGGGGAGCGAAAGGGAUUAGAUACCCCUGUAGUCCUGGCCGUAAACGAUGAACACUAGGUGUCGGGGGAAUCGACCCCCUCGGUGUCGUAGCCAACGCGUUAAGUGUUCCGCCUAGGGAGUACGCACGCAAGUGUGAAACUCAAAGGAAUUGACGGGGGCCCGCACAAGCGGUGGAGUAUGUGGUUUAAUUCGAUGCAACGCGAAGAACCUUACCAGGGUUUGACAUCCUGCGAAUCCCUUGGAAACUUGGGAGUGCCUUCGGGAGCGCAGUGACAGGUGGUGCAUGGCUGUCGUCAGCUCGUGUCGUGAGAUGUUGGGUUAAGUCCCGCAACGAGCGCAACCCACGUCUUUAGUUGCCAGCAUUAAGUUGGGCACUCUAGAGAGACUGCCGGUGAUAAACCGGAGGAAGGUGUGGAUGACGUCAAGUCAUCAUGCCCCUUACAUCCUGGGCUACACACGUACUACAAUGCUACGGACAAAGGGCAGCAAACUCGCGAGAGCUAGCAAAUCCCAUAAACCGUGGCUCAGUUCAGAUCGUAGGCUGCAACUCGCCUACGUGAAGGAGGAAUCGCUAGUAAUCGCAGGUCAGCAUACUGCGGUGAAUACGUUCCCGGGCCUUGUACACACCGCCCGUCACACCAUGGAAGUUGGCCACGCCCGAAGUCGUUACUCCAACCCGCAAGGGAGGAGGAUGCCGAAGGUGGGGCUGAUGACUGGGGUGAAGUCGUAACAAGGUA